rnacentral:rRNA from 1 species
ACGAACGCUGGCGGCGUGGAUAAGACAUGCAAGUCGAACGAGAGAAUUGCUAGCUUGCUAAUAAUUCUCUAGUGGCGCACGGGUGAGUAACACGUGAGUAACCUGCCCCCGAGAGCGGGAUAGCCCUGGGAAACUGGGAUUAAUACCGCAUAGUAUCGAAAGAUUAAAGCAGCAAUGCGCUUGGGGAUGGGCUCGCAGCCUAUUAGUUAGUUGGUGAGGUAACGGCUCACCAAGGCGAUGACGGGUAGCCGGUCUGAGAGGAUGUCCGGCCACACUGGAACUGAGACACGGUCCAGACACCUACGGGUGGCAGCAGUCGAGAAUCAUUCACAAUGGGGGAAACCCUGAUGGUGCGACGCCGCGUGGGGGAAUGAAGGUCUUCGGAUUGUAAACCCCUGUCAUGUGGGAGCAAAUUAAAAAGAUAGUACCACAAGAGGAAGAGACGGCUAACUCUGUGCCAGCAGCCGCGGUAAUACAGAGGUCUCAAGCGUUGUUCGGAAUCACUGGGCGUAAAGCGUGCGUAGGCUGUUUCGUAAGUCGUGUGUGAAAGGCGCGGGCUCAACCCGCGGACGGCACAUGAUACUGCGAGACUAGAGUAAUGGAGGGGGAACCGGAAUUCUCGGUGUAGCAGUGAAAUGCGUAGAUAUCGAGAGGAACACUCGUGGCGAAGGCGGGUUCCUGGACAUUAACUGACGCUGAGGCACGAAGGCCAGGGGAGCGAAAGGGAUUAGAUACCCCUGUAGUCCUGGCAGUAAACGGUGCACGCUUGGUGUGCGGGGAAUCGACCCCCUGCGUGCCGGAGCUAACGCGUUAAGCGUGCCGCCUGGGGAGUACGGUCGCAAGAUUAAAACUCAAAGAAAUUGACGGGGACCCGCACAAGCGGUGGAGUAUGUGGCUUAAUUCGAUGCAACGCGAAGAACCUUACCUGGGCUUGACAUGUAAUGAACAACAUGUGAAAGCAUGCGACUCUUCGGAGGCGUUACACAGGUGCUGCAUGGCCGUCGUCAGCUCGUGUCGUGAGAUGUUUGGUUAAGUCCAGCAACGAGCGCAACCCCUGUUGCCAGUUACCAGCACGUGAAGGUGGGGACUCUGGCGAGACUGCCCAGAUCAACUGGGAGGAAGGUGGGGACGACGUCAGGUCAGUAUGGCCCUUAUGCCCAGGGCUGCACACGUACUACAAUGCCCAGUACAGAGGGGGCCGAAGCCGCGAGGCGGAGGAAAUCCUGAAAACUGGGCCCAGUUCGGACUGUAGGCUGCAACCCGCCUACACGAAGCCGGAAUCGCUAGUAAUGGCGCAUCAGCUACGGCGCCGUGAAUACGUUCCCGGGUCUUGUACACACCGCCCGUCACAUCAUGGAAGCCGGUCGCACCCGAAGUAUCUGAAGCCAACCGCAAGGAGGCAGGGUCCUAAGGUGAGACUGGUAACUGGGAUG